CGGUAAUUCCAUGCUCCAAUAGCGUAUACUAAAGUUGUUGCAGUUAAAAAGCUCGUAGUUGGAUUUCUGCGGGGACGGAGCGGCCGGACGCAACUUGCGUCUCGAGCUAGCGCUUUCCCCGCAUCCUGCCGCGAACCGUGCUACCAUUAGUUUGGUGGCGCUGGGGAUCGGCUCGAUUACUUUGAGAAAAAUAGAGUGUUCAAAGCAGGCCACACGCCUUGAAUAAGUUAGCAUGGAAUAAUGACUAAGGACUUUGGUUCUUUUCGUUGGUGUUCGGGACUGAAGUAAUGAUUGAUAGGGACAGUUGGGGCGGUCUGUAUUCCAAAGCGAGAGGUGAAAUUCUUAGACCUUCGGAAGACAAACAGCUGCGAAAGCGUUCCGCAAGGAUGUUCCCUUUGAUCAAGAACGAAAGUUGGGGGAUCGAAGACGAUCAGAUACCGUCGUAGUCUCAACUAUAAACUAUACCAGCUAGGGAUCGGCCAACGUUUAAUUAUUCGACUUGGUCGGCACCUUAUGAGAAAUCAAAGCAUCUGGGUUCCGGGGGGAGUAUGGUCGCAAGGCUGAAACUUAAAGGAAUUGACGGAAGGGCACCACCAGGCGUGGAGCCUGUGGCUUAAUUUGACUCAACACGGGAAAACUUACCAGGUCCAGACAUAGGAAGGAUUGACAGACUGAUAGCUCUUUCUUGAUUCUGUGGGUGGUGGUGCAUGGCCGUUUUUAGUCGGUGAAGUGAUUUGUCUGCUUAAUUGCGUUAACGGACGAGACCCCAGCCUGCUAAAUAGCGCGGCCGAGCUUUGCUCGGUGCGAGCUUCUUAGAGGGACCAUGAUGCGCGAUAGCACAAGGAAGUUUGGGGCAACAACAGGUCUGUGAUGCCCUUAGAUGUUCUGAGCCGCACACGGGCUACACUGGCGCCUGCAACGAGCAUAUCAGCUGGCCCGAGAGGGUCUUGGCUAAUCUUUGGAACCGGCGCCGUGCUUGGGAUUGACCUUUGCAAUUGUUGGUCAUGCAACGAGGAAUGCCUUGUAAACGCGAGUCAUCAGCUCGCAUUGAAUACGUCCCUGCCCUUUGUACACACCGCCCGUCGCUCCUACCGAUGAAUGUUCCGAUGAAAUUUUCGGAGAGCGCCAGAGAACGGGGCUCUGCCUUGCAGAUCUGGAGGCUCAAAGUCACUUAAAUCUGAACAUUUCGAGGAAGGAGAAGUCGUAACAAGGUAACC
rnacentral:rRNA from 1 species